CAUCUACUCCCUCCUUUCGGAAUUACUUGUCUCGAAAAUGGAUGUAUCUAGAUGUAUUUUAGUUCUAGAUACAUCCAUUUCCGAGACAAGUAAUUCGGAAUGGAGGGAGUACAAU
rnacentral:pre_miRNA from 1 species